rnacentral:lncRNA from 1 species
UUUUCGAGCCUUUCGCCUUGUGGCGUCUGACGCGGUCAUCGAUUGCCGAUGCAAGCCUUGAGAGAGCAUUGGCAUGAUUAUUCUCGGAUCGGGGGAUCUGCUGGAUUUGGUAUACGUUAAACUGAUCGAGCAAUCGGCGGGUCUGCACUAGAUAGGUCGCCAUGGAUUCAUCUUUUGUCUUGAAUUCAGUGAUCACCUGGUUGACGACUAGUUGGAAGUCGCUACAUAUCAUC